GACGAACGCUGGCGGCGUGCUUAACACAUGCAAGUCGAACGGAAAGGCCCUGCUUUUGUGGGGUGCUCGAGUGGCGAACGGGUGAGUAACACGUGAGUCACCUGCCCUUGACUUUGGGAUAACUUCAGGAAACUGGCGCUUAUACCGUAUAGGCUCUCCUGCUGCGGGGUGGGGGUUGGAGAGUUUCGGCGGUUGGGGAUGGACUCGCGGCUUAUCAGCUUGUUGGUGGGGUAGUGGCUUACCAAGGCUUUGACGGGUAGCCGGCCUGAGAGGGUGACCGGCCACAUUGGGACUGAGAUACGGCCCAGACUCCUACGGGAGGCAGCAGUGGGGAAUAUUGCACAAUGGGCGGAAGCCUGAUGCAGCAACGCCGCGUGCGGGAUGACGGCCUUCGGGUUGUAAACCGCUUUCGCCUGUGACGAAGCGUGAGUGACGGUAAUGGGUAAAGAAGCACCGGCUAACUACGUG
rnacentral:rRNA from 1 species